rnacentral:rRNA from 1 species
UUAAGUGACCUGGCUCACGACAACGCUAGCGGCGUGCAUAAAACAUGCAAGUCGAACGGGCCAAUCCCCGCAAGGGGAAAGGCUAGUGGCGAACGGCUGAGUAACACGUAGGUGACCUGCCCAGAAGUGGGGGAUAACGAAUCGAAAGAUUCGCUAAUGCCGCAUGUGACCACUCAUUCAUUUGAGUGCUCAAAGUCGCAAGACGCUUUUGGAGGGGCCUGCGGCGGAUUAGCUAGAUGGCGAGGUAACGGCUCACCAUGGCGUCGAUCCGUAGCUGGUCUGAGAGGAUGGCCAGCCAGACUGGGACUGAGACACGGCCCAGACUCCUACGGGAGGCAGCAGUUAGGAAUUUUGCGCAAUGGGGGAAACCCUGACGCAGCCACGCCGCGUGCGGGAUGAAGGCCUUCGGGUCGUAAACCGCUUUUCUCGAGGAAGACACCCGACGGUACUCGAGGAAUAAGCAACGGCUAACUACGUGCCAGCAGCCGCGGUAAUACGUAGGUUGCGAGCGUUGUCCGGAUUUACUGGGCGUAAAGCGCGCGCAGGCGGUUCCGAAAGUCGAAUGUGAAAGCUCCUGGCCCAACUGGGAGAGGCCGUUCGAAACUUCGAAACUUGAAGGCGGGAGAGGCAGAUGGAAUUUCCGGUGUAGCGGUAAAAUGCGUAGAUACCGGAAGGAACACCAGUGGCGAAAGCGAUCUGCUGGCCCGCCCUUGACGCUCAGGCGCGAAAGCUGGGGGAGCGACCGGGAUGAAAUCUCGUCCCCUUCAGUGGCAACACUGAUGACGACAACCCCUGCUAUAUCGGCGAAAGUCCCAUCCGAUUGACUAACUAAGGUGGGAUGACACCGAGGGAAGUCCAGGCUUUGGCCUGUGACCCCGUAGAGACUGUACGCAGGCCCCGAUCGGCAACGAUCGUGGUGAAGACACAGUCCGAUCUCCGCAGCAAUGUGGAGAGACCAAGAGAGAUCUUGGCCCGCCGAGCUUCGCUCGGUCAGUACUCGAUGCGCAGCAUCGGGGAAGCAACAGAAUGUAGAUACCCCGUUAGUCCCAGCCGUAAACAAUGGGCACUAGGUGUUGUCGGUAUCGACCCCGGCAGUGCCGUAGCUAACGCAUUAAGUGCCCCGCCUGGGGAGUACGACCGCAAGGUUAAAACUCAAAGAAAUUGACGGGGGCCCGCACAAGCAGCGGAGCGUGCGGUUCAAUUCGAUGGUACGCGAAGAACCUUACCCAGACUUGACAUGCAGGUGGUAGAGGACCGAAAGGCGAUCGACCCGCAAGGGAGCUUGCACAGGUGUUGCACGGCCGUCGUCAGCUCGUGUCGUGAGAUGUUGGGUUAAGUCCCGCAACGAGCGCAACCCUCGGGGUCUGUUGUAUCUCUCAGACUCCACUGCCGAGAGAAACUCGGAGGAAGGUGGGGACGAAGUCAGGUCAGCGUGGCCUUUAUGUCUGGGGCAACACGCACGCUACAAUCGCCGGUCACAGCGGGUCGCGACAGCGUGAGCUGAAGCUAAUCCCAUAAAACCGGCGUCAGUUCAGAUCGGAGGCUGCAACUCGCCUCCGUGAAGUCGGAGUUGCUAGUAACCGCGGGACAGUACACCGCGGUGAAUAUGUUCCCGGGCAUUGCACUCACU